AUGGUCAGCGUCACCGAGCUCUGCCCGUUGUCCCUGGAGAUCGUGAACCGGCCCUUGACCGACGCUCCGGGCAGCCGUGACCCUGCUGGAGUCUGGGGCGGACCUCCAGCCCCCGUGGGGUGCCUGACUCUGCUCUGCCGCGGGUCUGGAUUCAAUUUUGUGCGUUAUGGAAUGGUCUGGGUUCGGCAGAGCCCCAGGAAGGCGCUGGAAUGGCUCGCAGGGAUCAGCAGCAAUGGUGGCUACACCCACUACACGCAAUCGGUUCAGGGCCGGUUCAGGAUCUCCAGGGACAGCUGGCAGAGCUUGGUGACGCUGACCAUGAAGGAUCUGAAGGAUGAGGAUUCCGGCGCCUAUUUCUGCGCCAGGCGUAGCAGUGGUUAUG